UCCCUGAAAGUCCAGUGGUUAGCACUCUUCACUUUCACUGCUGAGGGCCUGGGUUCAAUCCUUGGUCAGGGAA
rfam:TPA: Bos taurus chromosome 7, whole genome shotgun sequence.